rnacentral:tRNA from 1 species
GUAGAUAUGUGUAGGUUUUACGUUAUAUUGACGGAUUCCUAAUCCGUAGGCCGUGCGUUCAAAUCGCGCCGGGGACACCA